GACGAACGCUGGCGGCGUGCCUAACACAUGCAAGUCGAACGGAAAGGCCCUGCUCUUGUUGGUUGCUCGAUUGGCGAACGGGUGAGUAACACGCGAGGAACCUGCCCCUGACUUUCUGAUAACUUCAGGGAACUGGGGCUAAUACCGGAUAUGAUCUCCUGCUGCAUGUUGUUCGAUGGUAAGAUUCGGCGGUGGGGGAUGGUCUCGAGGCUUAUCAGCUUCUUUGUGUGGUAGUGGCUUACCAAGGCUUUGACGGCUAGCCGGCCUGAGAGGGUUGACGGCGACCAGGGGACUGAGAUACGGAGCAGAAGGGUACGGGAGGCAGCAGUGGGGAGUAUUGCAGAAUGGGGGGAAGCGUGAUGUAGCAACGCCGGGUGCGGGAUAAUGGGCUUCGGGUUGUAAACCGAUUUGGCCUGUGACGAAGAGUGAGUGACGGUAAUGGGUAAAGAAGCAACGGCUAACUACGUG
rnacentral:rRNA from 1 species